AGUGAACGCUGGCGGUAGGCCUAACACAUGCAAGUCGAACGGCAGCACAGUAAGAGCUUGCUCUUACGGGUGGCGAGUGGCGGACGGGUGAGGAAUACAUCGGAAUCUACUUUUUCGUGGGGGAUAACGUAGGGAAACUUACGCUAAUACCGCAUACGACCUACGGGUGAAAGCAGGGGAUCUUCGGACCUUGCGCGAUUGAAUGAGCCGAUGUCGGAUUAGCUAGUUGGCGGGGUAAAGGCCCACCAAGGCGACGAUCCGUAGCUGGUCUGAGAGGAUGAUCAGCCACACUGGACCUGAGACACGGUCCAGACUCCUACGGGAGGCAGCAGUGGGGAACAUUGGACAAUGGGCGAAAGCCUGAUCCAGCAAGACGGCGGAGGUGAAGAAGGCCUUCGGGUUGUAAAGCCUUUUUGUUGGGAAAGAAAAGCAGCAGGUUAAUACCCCGCUGUUCUGACGGUACCAAAAGAAUAAGCACCGGCUAACUUCGU
rnacentral:rRNA from 1 species